rnacentral:siRNA from 1 species
UCGAACCCAACACCUCUACCU